UUCAAUUAUUGUUAUCAAUAAUUUUUGUUCAUUUAAAAAAAAAUAGUUUUAAUAUGGCGCAAAAUCUGAAUAUUUUUCCAACGGUAUUUCAACUUUUGUCAGAAAAAGUAGAAUAGUUUUUUGUUAAUAAAACUUGAUUUUUUUUGGAUGGUCUGCAUUAUAUAUGUACUAAACGUGUAAACACAACUGUGAAGUCUUCAAGCAAUUUAUCACUUAUCAGUCUUCCAAACGGCUUGGGGAAUUUAGAAGCUCCUCCAAACUACCUUUCAAAUCAAUGCAGCUGUGUUGAUAAUGUCAGUAUUCCGUUAGGAUCUGUUUGGCAGUGAGCUGGGCAUUACUAGAGUGAAUACGUAAUGGGGGAUCUUCAGAGGAUACGAGAUAACCUUGAUUCGUGCGUGUAUGUUUUAUUAAGACUAUAGAAAACCUUUGUUGGGAUCGGGUUCUCAACUGUUAUAUUAAAAUAUAAUAAUUUCAUAAAA
rnacentral:lncRNA from 1 species